CCCACCUCGAUGGAUUCUAGCGGGGCGGUCAGCUUACGUGCUUCCCUCCACUCGUAGCUGGGGAGUGCCCUUGGCUCCUGCCCAGCCCGUGUGGGUGGGGACAGGCUCAGAAUUUUAGAAUCAUCCUAUCCCGACUCCCAUUCAAUUAAGAAGACACCUCCAAAUUGGUGAAUCUUCUGCUCUGCACACGACACAUCCUAUGUUCUGUUUUUUUGUCGUCCCCUGGGAUAUGUUACAUUCCCCUGUUGAACUAUUGAAUCACGUUGAGGCAAAAGAGACCAUUGAGGAUGGAGAGAGUGAGGAUUUUUAAUAAUACAUCACCACCAAGCGACUGAUCAAAGGGGAGAGCCUG